UCAUUGUUUCACUGUGUUGCCUAGGC
rnacentral:piRNA from 1 species